GCAGUCGACGAGUUCCGUUGAUUGACGUGCUUGCACUGAUUUCAACAUUGGAACGAGUGGCGAACUGGUGAGUAACACGUGGAAAACCUGCCCAGAAGCAGGGGAUAACACUUGGAAACAGGUGCUAAUACCGUAUAACAACAAAAACCGCAUGGUUUUUGUUUGAAAGGUGGCUUCGGCUAUCACUUCUGGAUGGUUCCGCGGCGCAUUAGCUUGUUGGUGGGGUAACGGCUCACCAAGGCGAUGAUGCGUAGCCGACCUGAGAGGGUAAUCGGCCACAUUGGGACUGAGACACGGCCCAGACUCCUACGGGAGGCAGCAGUAGGGAAUCUUCCACAAUGGACGCAAGUCUGAUGGAGCAAUGCCGCGUGAGUGAAGAAGGGUUUCGGCUCGUAAAACUCUGUUGUUGAAGAAGAACGGGUGUCAGAGUAACUGUUGACAUCGUGACGGUAUUCAACCAGAAAGCCACGGCUAACUACGUGCCAGCAGCCGCGGUAAUACGUAGGUGGCAAGCGUUGUCCGGAUUUAUUGGGCGUAAAGCGAGCGCAGGCGGUUUCUUAAGUCUGAUGUGAAAGCCUUCGGCUUAACCGAAGAAGUGCAUCGGAAACUGGGGAACUUGAGUGCAGAAGAGGACAGUGGAACUCCAUGUGUAGCGGUGGAAUGCGUAGAUAUAUGGAAGAACACCAGUGGCGAAAGCGGCUGUCUAGUCUGCAACUGACGCUGAGGCUCGAAAGCAUGGUAGCGAACAGGAUUAGAUACCCUGGUAGUCCAUGCCGUAACGAUGAGUGCUAGUGUUGGAGGUUUCCGCCCUUCAGUGCGCAGCUACGCAUUAAGCAC
rnacentral:rRNA from 2 species